CAGCGAGAGAGAGAGAGAGAGAGGAAGAGAGGGAGAGAGACAGAUGUCGGCGGUGAAGGCGGUGCGACGGGUCCAGGAACGGGGCAAUGGGUUCUUCGACCCCGAUCUAGGGAACGCCCUUGUACCCGAUCUCUGUGUCGUAAAUAAGAGCUCGUCGCUGUGGGAGCUCCUCGUCCAGAUCAUGGCAUCUCGCGUCAUCUCUCCCAUUCACGCCCUCGCCCUCCUCAUCUCACGCGCCGGGACUGCAUAAAUGGAUCACCUGUAAAUACAUUAGAUGAUUCUUUUCAAAGGCCAAUGCUUCCUGGAUGGAAUAUUAAAAGUGGUUGUGUUUGUUCUUGAAGCUGUUUUGACUGCAUGUGCACAAGGGAAGCAUCCAAGGAAUUGACUACAGGUUUGAUGCAUUUAUUUCUUGAUUGAAUUUCCUUCUUGUUUGCAUUUGCUAUCUUUUAUUCUUUGUGUUUUAGGACACCUAGCUCUUCAUUUUUUAUCUUCCAGAUUUCAAUAUAUAUGUCAUAUAAAAUUGUUGGUUAGGCAGAGGAAACUCCAUCUAUAUAAUUUGGUUUCUAGUGCUACAAAAAUUUGUAAUAAUAGAAGAAUGAUAAAGAGUUGCUUUGAGAGGUAAGAACAUUGCAGUAAUUAGUUAAUGAUCACAGAUUGAAAACAAGUAUUUAUUUUAUCUCACAUUAAAGCAUAGAUGUUUUUGUCUUGCAAUGCUAUUUAAGAUAUAGGCAAACGACAUUCAUGUUCUAAUCUAUGUAUGUCUGCUCAAAUGUCACGGACCAGGAGUGAUGAAGGCAUGCCAGCACUGCAUAGCUCAAAGCUGAUGUUGACUGGCAUGGAGGGUUUUGUUUGUGUGAAUUGAAAUUUUGUUCCCGCUAACUAUCAUCUCUGUCAGGUUGUGGAAUUCAAUUUUAGAUUGUCUUGAAAUAUUCUCCAAAUAGACCAAACAUUGAAAAAAAAAAAAGGGGGGGAAGAAAAUGAAUUACUUGUGUGUUCUUAGAUGUUAUUCUAUUGCACUGUUGGUGAUUUUAACUAGGUUGUUAGGCUCUGCUGUAAAACUUCAGAGAGUUGGGAAAACAGUUUGGAUUGGUUGGUCCUGUCUGAUCUCACCUAGCAGAACAUUUCAUUUAUUUUGUUCUAUUGUUCUGUCUUGUUUGCUUUUA